AAAUACCGUCGGUUGCAACUAAGGGUGAACAGUUGCAGAUAAAACAUUCUCUAUUCUCAUUAAUUUAAAAAGCCUGUAAAAGUUUCCAGUAGGUCUCUAGCCCAAUACGUUCAGACCACACAAAGUUUUGUUACUUAUUAUUGUACACAUGGGAAACAACAAUUAAGUGUUGUUGUUCUUGUCAAAUAUUGAAGAUUCUAAUCACGCGAAUGUUUUUAUGAGCGACUGUUCAUCGUUAGUUGCAAGCGACCGUACAACAUACUAUGAACAUUUUCCCGACUGUGACCGAAUGUGCAACGAUAUAUUUUUCAAAGUUGUUAUCAAUUCUUAAAAUUUGUUUAUAGUAAAACGGCCUGCUCAGCACUCACUACUCACGAUGAUUUCAUUUAGAAAUGCAGUUACCAGGAAAGGAACUGAUUCUAAAAUAUGUAAAUUUAAACGUAUUGGCUAACAGAAUAAAGCGAUGUGAAGACAAGGUAUAAACUUUUAUAGUUGCUAUUUGUUAUAAAAUCCUAUAAAUAAACCGAUUCAACAAUAAUUUUGCCUCGAAUUUGCAUAAUCUAUGCUGCAUGUUUAUAUUUUAUUUUUAUAGUAUAAAAAUAAAAUUGUAAUACUAUGAAAUAAAAUACAUUUCUGUUUAUUGACCAGUACUUAUUUAAUGUCUUCUUCAUCCAGUGGUCAGAGUAAAUUUCUACUUCUUGCAAGUACAUAUUUGACAAGCAGUCUGGAAUAAGCACAGGAAUAAGCACAAUAAGCCAUUUUAUAGUAGCAAUAUGAAAAGUUUUUUCUUUUUCCAUGACUUUUAAUGCAUCAGCCAAAUCCAAGUGUGCCCAUCCCCCUCACCCAGCUAUUUUCCUGUAAAGCACAUCCCGUGGGUUGGGUAUUUCCACUCGAACCUUAGCCCCGGCGGGGCGUUUGAAAUUAAUAAUUUCGAUUCUUGCACUUCACUUCGUGGAAUUAAUAUUAGAAUGUUAGGGUUUGUAAUCCAAGUGAGAAUAUAUACAUGUAUAUAUUUUGUAAUCCAAGUGAGAAUAUUUUGUAAUCCAAGUGAGAAUAUACAAAUGUAUAGUACAUGUAUAUAUUUUGUGUAUAUAUUUUGUAAUCCAAAUGAGAAUAGUUUGUAAUCCAAGUGAGAAUAUACAAAUGUAUAUAUUCUCACUUGGAUUACAAACCCUAACAUUCUAAUAUUAAUUCCAACAAGUGAAGUGCAAGAAUCCAAAUUAUUGAAGUCCACCUUAUCACAACCCGCACACCCGAUUACCUAAAUAUACAUGAACUUACGGUUAAAGCUCAGCAGCUGGCCUCUGUAGCUCAGUUGGUUAGAGCGCUGCACCGGAAUCGCAGGGCCGUAGGUUCAAUUCCUACCAGAGGACCUUGUGCCUGCAUUUUUCGCAGUCGUUCCUGGUUAGGUCUUAAAAUGUAUAUAUUCUCACUUGGAUUACAAACCCUGACAUUCUAAUAUUAAUUCGAAUUCCACCAAGUGAACUGCAAGAAUCCAAAUUAUUGAAGUCCACCUUAUCACAACCCGCACACCCGAUUACCUAAAUAUACAUGAACUUACGGUUAAAGCUCAACAACUGGCAUCUGUAGCUCAGUUGGUUAGAGCGCUGCACCGGAAUCGCAGGGCCGUAGGUUCAAUUCCUACCAGAGGACCUUGUGCUGCAUUUUCGCAGUCGUUCCUGGUUAGGUCUUAAAAUGUAUAUAUUCUCACUUGGAUUACAAACCCUAACAUUCUAAUGUUAAUUCCAACAAGUGAAGUCCAAGAAUCUAAAUUAUUGAAGUCCACCUUAUUACAACCCGCACACCCGAUUACCUAAAUAUACAUGAACUUACGGUUAAAGCUCAACAGCUGGCCUCUGUAGCUCAGUUGGUUAGAGCGCUGCACCGGAAUCGCAGGGCUGUAGGUUCAAUUCCUACCAGAGGACCUUGUGCUGCAUUUUUUGCAGUCGUUCCUGGUUAGAUCUUAAAAUGUAUAUAUUCUCACUUGGAUUACAAGCCCUAACAUUCUAAUAUUAAUUCCACCAAGUGAAGUGCAAGAAUCCAAAUUAUUGAAGUCCACCUCAUCACUACCCGCACACCCGAUUACCUAUAUAUACAUCAACUUGCGGUUACAGCUCAACAGCUGGCCUCUGUAGCUCAGUUGGUUAGAGCGCUGCACUGGAAUCGCAGGGCCGUAGGUUCAAUUCCUACCAGAGGACCUUGUGCUGCAUUUUUUGCAGUCGUUCCUGGUUAGGUCUUAAAAUGUAUAUAUUCUCACUUGGAUUACAAACCCUAACAUUCUAAUGUUAAUUCCAACAAGUGAAGUCCAAGAAUCCAAAUUAUUGAAGUCCACCUUAUCACAACCCGCACACCCGAUUACCUAAAUAUACAUGAACUUACGGUUAAAGCUCAACAGCUGGCCUCUGUAGCUCAGUUGGUUAGAGCGCUGCACCGGAAUCGCAGGGCCGUAGGUUCAAUUCCUACCGGAGGACCUUGUGCUGCAUUUUUCGCAGUCGUUCCUGGUUAGGUCUUAAAAUGUAUAUAUUCUCACUUGGAUUACAAACCUAACAUUCAAAUAUUAAUUCCAACAAGUGAAGUACAAGAAUCCAAAUUAUUGAAGUCCAGCUUAUCACAACCGGCACACCCGAUUACCUAAAUAUACAUGAACUUACGGUUAAAGCUCAACAGCUGGCCUCUGUAGCUCAGUUGGUUAGAGCGCUGCACCGGAAUCGCAGGGCUGUAGGUUCAAUUCCUACCAGAGGACCUUGUGCUGCAUUUUUCGCAGUCGUUCCUGGUUAGGUCUUAAAACGUAUAUAUUCUCACUUGGAUUACAAACCCUAACAUUCUAAUAUUAAGUCCACCAAGUGAAGUGCAAGAAUCCAAAUUAUUGAAGUCCACCUUAUCAUAACCCACACACCCGAUUACUUAAAUAUACAUGAACUUACGGUUAAAACUCAACAGCUGGCCUCUGUAGCUCAGUUGGUUAGAGCGCUGUACCGGAAUCGCAGGGCCGUAGGUUCAAUUCCUACCAGAGGACCUUGUGCUGCAUUUUUCGCAGUCGUUCCUGGUUAGGUCUUAAAAUGUAUAUAUUCUCACAUGGAUUACAAACCCUAACAUUCUAAUAUUAAUUCCACCAAGUGAAGUGCCAAGAAUCCAAAUUAUUGAAGUCCACCUUAUCACAACCCGCACACCCGAUAACCUAAAUAUACAUGAACUUGCGGUUCAAGCUCAACAGCUGGCCUUUGUAGCUCAGUUGGUUAGAGCGCUGCACCGGAAUCGCGGUACCGUAGGUUCAAUUCCUACCAGAGGACCUUGUGCUGCAUUUUUCGCAGUCGUUCCUGGUUAGGUCUUAAAAUGUAUAUAAUUCUCACUUGGAUUAAAAGUUAAAACCCUAACAUUCUAACAUUUGAAAUUAAGGAUUUGGAGGUUUUGCGAUCACUGAUAACUUGAUAAUAAUAUAAAACAAAACACUUCUAUCUGCGACUUUUACUUAUCACUGAUAACUUGAUAAUAAUUUAAACCAGUCAAGUUGUAGUUUAAAUAGAGAAUAAUACAUGGGUGCACGAAAAACCAGAUUUAUUUCGAGUGUUGAACAUGAGUGCGCAGCGAACAAGUGAGCGCAUCGAACGAGUGAGAUGUCAUGUUCAACACGAAAAAUAAAUCUGGUAUUUCCAACCACACAUGUAUUUUUCUGUUUAUUAUAUAAAGGACAGUCUUUUAAAAGCGAUAAUUUUUACAGAAAAGUGAUAAUUGAAAAGGCGAUAAUUUUCACAUGUGAGAUUAUCAUGAAUAAUUUUACAUGUGAGAUUAUCAUUUUUAUCAGUGCUCGAAAUCUCUUUCAAACACUCAUUAAUAAUUCAUAAGCUUAUUGACGAAACAUGUCGACCAUAUUAUGUCACGUGCAGUGGCUUUAAACCUGAUAAAACACUCCUAAUUGGUAUUCUUUAUAUAAAGAAUACUAAUAAGGCAGUAUCUAUUGUAGUCGUGUCCUCAUUAGUAUUCUUUAUAUAAAGAAUACUAACAAGGCAGUAAAUCUAUUGAAUUUGUAGUCGUGUUUGAAGCCGUUUAAUAAACUCGAAGGUCGUGUUUUAUUAGGUCUAAAGCCACUCGCGCUGCGCGCUCGUGUCUUUUAACCUAAUAAAACACUCCUGCUCGUUUAUUAAACAGUACAUAAAACACUAUACUUUAUAUAAUAAAAAUUCAUAAAUUUGAACCACGCUAGAGCAUGCAACAGCAAAAUGCUCUAUAGUAUGAUGCACAAAAUUUUGGGAGAUGAAAUACACGAACAAAAAAUCAGAGAGUCGGUUUGCUUGAAACUCACUUGGGGUGGGGGUCGGGGGUGCAACACCCCUAAUAAUUUCUCAUGAGGAAUUUCAGGUAGAUUUCCAGUGCACUUUUAGGUAAAUUUAAGUAGAUUUUCAGAAGAUUUUCAGUGGAAUUCAGGUAAUUCUCAAGACAUGAGAAAGUGAAUUUGAAAACAACUGUAUUUUCGGAAAAAUUAUUAUAUGUCCUGAAUUUUGUACAUCUGGAAACAUUUUGGUAACCACCCCCCCCCCCUAUCUAACCUCACACACACCCUGAGACGAAGUGCUAGCAACGGCACUGAGUAUACAUCUUUUGAAAACAGGCGAGGGGUUAUUGCAUGCAUGUAUUUCUAGUUUACUCAUAAUUUUUCGCGCAUUUUGCAGGGAUGCAUAUUAUAGCGGACCACAGGACCAUUGGUCGCAGAAAAUGUUUGAGGUUGGCAGAAAAAAAUGGAGGGUAAAACUUAAAAGUCUCAAAAGAACAAAGUAAAGAGAAAGAAAGGAAAAACAGAAAGGAAGAAAAUCAGAAAGUGACAUAAUUGAAUAAUAAGCUGUAGGUUGUGAACUAGUGAUAUUUGCAACAUACAGUUUCCAAUAAUAUAUGAAUACAACUACAAUAUGUGUAUUAAAAAAUCUGCGAGUGUGGUGAUUUCUUACAAUGUAGUAAAAAAUCAAAUCAGUCAAUAUUUUGUGACGUUAUAAUAUUUUGUAAAAGG